AUUGAACGCUGGCGGCAUGCCUUACACAUGCAAGUCGAACGGUAGCGGGCCUUCGGGUGCCGACGAGUGGCGAACGGGUGAGUAAUGUAUCGGAACGUACCUUUCAGUGGGGGAUAACGUAGCGAAAGUUACGCUAAUACCGAAUAUUCUGUGAGCAGGAAAGCAGGGGAUCGCAAGACCUUGCGCCGAUUGAGCGGCCGAUGUCAGAUUAGCUAGUUGGAGGUAAAGGCUCACCAAGGCGACGAUCUGUAGCGGGUCUGAGAGGAUGAUCCGCCACACUGGAACUGAGACACGGUCCAGACUCCUACGGGAGGCAGCAGUGGGGAAUUUUGGACAAUGGGGGCAACCCUGAUCCAGCCAUGCCGCGUGAGUGAAGAAGGCCUUCGGGUUGUAAAGCUCUUUCGGCCGGGAAGAAAUCGUAUGGGCUAAUACCCUGUGCGGAUGACGGUACCGGCAUAAGAAGCACCGGCUAACUACGUGCCAGCAGCCGCCGUAAUAC
rnacentral:rRNA from 1 species